GGUUAAGCGACUAAGCGUACACGGUGGAUGCCCUGGCAGUCAGAGGCGAUGAAGGACGUGCUAAUCUGCGAUAAGCGUCGGUAAGGUGAUAUGAACCGUUAUAACCGGCGAUUUCCGAAUGGGGAAACCCAGUGUGAUUCGUCACACUAUCAUUAACUGAAUCCAUAGGUUAAUGAGGCGAACCGGGGGAACUGAAACAUCUAAGUACCCCGAGGAAAAGAAAUCAACCGAGAUUCCCCCAGUAGCGGCGAGCGAACGGGGAGGAGCCCAGAGUCUGAAUCAGUGUGUGUGUUAGUGGAAGCGUCUGGAAAGGCGCGCGAUACAGGGUGACAGCCCCGUACACAAAAAUGCACAUGCUGUGAGCUCGAUGAGUAGGGCGGGACACGUGGUAUCCUGUCUGAAUAUGGGGGGACCAUCCUCCAAGGCUAAAUACUCCUGACUGACCGAUAGUGAACCAGUACCGUGAGGGAAAGGCGAAAAGAACCCCGGCGAGGGGAGUGAAAAAGAACCUGAAACCGUGUACGUACAAGCAGUGGGAGCCUCUUUUAUGGGGUGACUGCGUACCUUUUGUAUAAUGGGUCAGCGACUUAUAUUCUGUAGCAAGGUUAACCGAAUAGGGGAGCCGAAGGGAAACCGAGUCUUAACUGGGCGUUAAGUUGCAGGGUAUAGACCCGAAACCCGGUGAUCUAGCCAUGGGCAGGUUGAAGGUUGGGUAACACUAACUGGAGGACCGAACCGACUAAUGUUGAAAAAUUAGCGGAUGACUUGUGGCUGGGGGUGAAAGGCCAAUCAAACCGGGAGAUAGCUGGUUCUCCCCGAAAGCUAUUUAGGUAGCGCCUCGUGAA
rnacentral:rRNA from 1 species